CUUUUUGGGGCAGGGUCUCACUGUGCAGUUUAGGCUGGCCUUUGUAGCCCAGGCUAGUCUCGAACUUGCAACGAUCCUCCUGCCUCAGCCUCCUGAGUGCUGAUAUUACAGGUAGUCCUGACAGUUUUAGUGAUAGCAAAUACAUUGUUCCUCUUAAAAAAUUAAAUUAGAUCGGAAAUGUAUAAAUGGUUUUAUGACUUAAUCCCCCCCCCCAUCCCUUGUUUCCACUGUAAAAUACCCUUAAAAGUAGGCGGGAAGCAGGCCAUUUUGAUGAACUUCAGCAAAACCCCAACCUGAGAACGUUCUGGGGGCUCCUACCUGUUAACCUGCCUGCAAGUCCAUCCUAAGCAAUGCCCUGUCUCCUUGAGGGCUCCUAACGAUACAACAGAGAACACUGUGACGCCAGCAGUUACUUGAUAAAUAGGACCGGUCAGCACCGCCAGGCCUCCUCUGAGAGACACCUGGUGACUCGGUUCCCUCUGCCUCCUCGGGGCUCCCAGCUCUGGUCCUGAUACAGAAGAUUCCAGAGACAAAGCGUCCACCCCCUCACUGUCUUAAGCUCGGCAGAGAAUUAUAACGUGCACGUCGCUAUCUUUCUACGAAGUCUUAAGUGAAUCAUCUACUUGAAGAAUGCUUGUGUCCCCCGCGAGACUAGAGUUGAAAAUAUGUCGUGUGAAGCUUUUAAACAGAAGCCUCUCCUCACCCCGUACUAUUUCUGCUUGAAUUAAACUUCAGGGGAAAUCUGUGGCGACCUAAGUGCAGGAACUCGAACAUUCCAGGCAAGCACUCUGCUCCCGAGCCACACGUUAGUUCACGAUUCGCUGUUCUUUUGCUGCCAGAGACAGUCUCAACUGUGCAUUUUUUUCUCUGCUGAUUUCCACUGCUAAUAAGCAUGUAAACCUACUGUGAGUGUGUUUUACUUGUGUGAUCAACCAAAAUAAAAAAAGAAGGAGUCACUGACAAUAAAUCCAACAUGAAAACAGGUGCCUGGGCUCCAGACGCAGUCCACACGUCUGAGGAACACGAAGCCCUACCGGUGUGCAGAUCGGCUCCCCGUCUUGCUUGCUCGCCCACAUUCUCCAUUCUGGACCUUUGUAGCAUGCCUCGCCCCCCGCUGCCUGGAUGCGGGUGAUCGGGGCCUAUUUAUUCUUAGACUAGAAGUUGUCUGAGGCCAGGAGUCCUGUACAUGUCUGCACUCCUGUGUCAGCGCACAAACCUGGUCUGUGCAUCGGAGCGUGGAACCAGCUGCCAACCAGGAAUCUUGCACAUCGCCCAGUUCUCUAAAAGUCCCAGAGAGUGCGAAGCGGAGGGAUUUGGUGCCCGAAAUAGGAGCUUAUUCUAAGAGCCGUGUAGCAGGAAAGACAAAGAUAGCUCAGAGAGUGGAGAUUUCGCAAGAGGAGGAGGAAAGGAAGUAGGAGAAAGAGCAGAAGAGUGGGAGUGAGAGUGUGGGUACCGAGAAAGCAGAAGGCCGGCGUGCGCCGCGGCUGCCGGGGACUUGCAUGAGCUCAGCCUCCAACGCAGCUCUCCUGGACUUUUGUUCAUGCGUCUAAAUCUAGAUCAUCACGAAUGUUUUUCUGUGUUCGUUCUGCUGUGUUCUCAUCUCUGACCUUCAGGUUAAGCUCAGCUGUGCCAAGCUGAUUGGCUUGGGGAUCUGCCCAGGAAACCAGUAAAGUACACUUCUGAGUCACCUGAGUGAGUUACAAGGUGCGGCCUCGGGGGUCCAUCCUGCUCCCCGCCCCCUUCUCUGGCACUGUUCCCUGCUCUGCUUCCCAGGCACCACGGAUUAAGCAGCUUUGCUGCACCGGGUUCUUCCACCAGGGGUGUCAGCU
rnacentral:lncRNA from 1 species